AGGGUUCGAUUCUGGCUCAGGAUGAACGCUGGCGGCGUGCCUAACACAUGCAAGUCGAACGAAGCACUGUGGUUGAGAUUCGUCAAGAACCGACUUUGACUUAGUGGCGGACGGGUGAGUAAUGUAUGAGCAACCUGCCUUUCAGAGGGGGACAACAGUUGGAAACGACUGCUAAUACCGCAUAAUGUAUUUGGGUGGCAUCACCUGGAUACCAAAGGAGCAAUCCGCUGAAAGAUGGGCUCAUAUCUGAUUAGUUAGUUGGCAGGGUAACGGCCUACCAAGACUGCGAUCAGUAGCCGGACUGAGAGGUUGAACGGCCACAUUGGGACUGAGAUACGGCCCAGACUCCUACGGGAGGCAGCAGUGGGGAAUAUUGGGCGAUGGGCGAAAGCCUCGACCCAGCAACGCCGCGUGAAGGAAGAAGGUCUUCGGAUUGUAAACUUCUUUUAUGAGGGACGAAGGACGUGACGGUACCUCAUGAAUAAGCCACGGCUAACUACGUGCCAGCCGCUGC
rnacentral:rRNA from 1 species